AGCCGAAACAGGGAAUCCGUUCCCUGUCUGCCAGGGAUGGCCUACUGGCACUGACGAGGCAGGCCGGA
rnacentral:hammerhead_ribozyme from 1 species